AAGAUUUUAAGUUAAACCAACAAAACUAUUAACCUUCAAAGUUAAAAUUGAAUAAUUAAUCAAAUCUUA
rnacentral:tRNA from 1 species